rnacentral:rRNA from 1 species
UACGUAGGGGGCGAGCGUUGUUCGGAAUCACUGGGCGUAAAGGGAACGUAGGCGGCGAGUUAAGUCAGGGGUGAAAUCCUGGAGCUCAACUCCAGAACUGCCUUUGAUACUGGCGUGCUCGAGUGUGGGAGAGGUUGGUGGAACUCCGAGUGUAGAGGUGAAAUUCGUAGAUAUUCGGAAGAACACCAGUGGCGAAGGCGGCCAACUGGCCUAUUACUGACACUGAGGUGCGAAAGCGUGGGGAGCAAACAGG